rnacentral:tRNA from 1 species
GUUACUUUGGCAGAUUAGUGCGAUUGAUUUAGAAUCAUUUUAUGUAAAUUUUUUACAGGUAAUA